CGAAGGUGAAGCAGUCCAUGUCCUCGGUAGCCACAGGAUAGACUUUGCCAGCCUUCACCAGGGCAGCACAGCUGGCCUCUGCCUCGAUGGGUGCAUCAAGAAGCAGGAAGAUUGAUGGCUUGGUAUUAUAUUACAUUUGAGACAGUGAAGAAAUUUUAUACAAUCAGUGGAAAAGAAACCUUAUCAGAUCUGAUUUCCAAUGGAAGGAAGAAUUAAAACAAGAGAAAUGAAAGUAAAUUGUCUUAUUCAGGCUCAACUAGGAUGCAUUCCCAUACAAGAUUUUGCUUUGACACAAGAUACCGCAAAGAUUUUCAGACAUGGCUCCCGAAUUACAAGAUAUUUUAAACAGACAUCCCCCCUUUGGAACCCAGAUAAAAGAAACU
rnacentral:lncRNA from 1 species